AGUGAACGCUGGCGGUAGGCCUAACACAUGCAAGUCGAACGGCAGCACAGAGGAGCUUGCUCCUUGGGUGGCGAGUGGCGGACGGGUGAGGAAUACAUCGGAAUCUACUCUGUCGUGGGGGAUAACGUAGGGAAACGUACGCUAAUACCGCAUACGACCUACGGGUGAAAGCAGGGGAUCUUCGGACCUUGCGCGAUUGAAUGAGCCGGUGUCGGAUGAGCUAGUUGGCGGGGUAAAGGCCCACCAAGGCGACGAUCCGUAGCUGGUUUGAGAGGAGGAGCAGCCACCCUGGAACUGGGACACGGUCCAGACUCAUACGGGAGGCAGCAGUGGGGAAUAUUGGACAAUGGGCGCAAGCCUGAUCCAGCCAUACCGCGUGGGUGAAGAAGGCCUUCGGGUUGUAAAGCCCUUUUGUUGGGAAAGAAAUCCAUCUGGUUAAUACCCGGGUGGGAUGACGGUACCCAAAGAAUAAGCACCGGCUAACUUCGUGCCAGCCGCCGCCGUAA
rnacentral:rRNA from 1 species